rnacentral:rRNA from 1 species
AAGCCUGAUCCAUAAAUGCCGCGUGAGUGAUGAAGGCCUUAGGGUUGUAAAGCUCUUUUACCCGGGAUGAUAAUGACAGUACCGGGAGAAUAAGCCCCGGCUAACUCCGUGCCAGCAGCCGCGGUAAUA